rnacentral:tRNA from 1 species
UAUAAUAUGGUGUAUGGUGCACACGGGUCCUUGAAACCUGAAGAUUAAGUUCAAAUCUUUUCAUUAUAA